UACGGAGGGGGCGAGCGUUAUUCGGAAUUAUUGGGCGUAAAGGCCCGUAGGCGGCCCGGUAAGUCAAAGGUGAAAUCCCUCGGCUCAACUGAGGAACUGCCUUUGAAACUGUCGGGCUUGAGGCCGGGAGGGGGUAGCGGAAUUCCCAGUGUAGCGGUGAAAUGCGUAGAUAUUGGGAGGAACACCGGUGGCGAAGGCGGCUACCUGGACCGGUUCUGACGCUGAGGUGCGAAAGCGUGGGGAGCAAACAGG
rnacentral:rRNA from 1 species